GUGCUAACUUCAGUAGCACAUAUACUAAAAUUGGAAGAAUAUAGAGUAGAUUGACAUGGCCCCUGUGCAAGGAUUACACACAAAUUCAUGAAGUAUUUUGAUCUAAA